rnacentral:lncRNA from 1 species
CCAGCCAGUGUAGACAUGAAGGAUAGAAUGGGAAUUACAGUGCGUAAAUCUGAACCAUUAAUGGCGGUGCCUAAGAGGUUUAAUAAGGCGUGAGGCUUGAAAUGUAUCAUCUGCUACUCUGCUGCUUAAUUUGAUGCUAUGAACUUCAUGAUCACUACUUGUAUUGUCAGAAUUAAAAGAUUUUCUUGUUGAGUUGAGUGGGAUUUUAUUAUUAUUAACUGGAUUGGACCUAAAAUAUAUUUCAUUCUGGGAGAUGCCUUGAAUUCCAAGGCCCCAGGACUUGUUUUACUUUCUCUGGAUUCAAGGGUGAGGUUGCCAUCCAAAAAAAAAAAAAAAAACAAGAAGAAAUAUUUACAAUGUUGAUUAGCCUAACAAGACCAUGGUUUUGCUAGGAUAGGUUUUAAUUUCAAUCUGAAAUGUUAAAGUUCAAAUUCUAUUAUUAACUUGGAUUAUUCCACUAUUGGAAUUAUUCAUAAGCUUCUAUUUAUAUACCCAUUACAGC